CUUCAGGUGGAAUGGAUAAAAUGGAUAAUCCUUCCCAACUCCAAGCACUCUGUCCCAGGCCUUUCCCACUGACAUGAGGGAGUUGCCAUGUGAAGAGGAGACAAGUGGCUCCUGCUUGACAGAAGCAGAAGAGACAUUGACUGCCUGGGCUCUGACCUGCUGCAGGAUUUUCUCCAUGGAUAUGAGGUGAGCGAUUCGAGGCCACUCUGGGCCACGAUGCCAGGAAGGAUUUGGGCUUGGAGCAGACCUGAAGGAUGUCGUUUUCCCUUUUGGAUGGCCAUAGAAACCCAGCCAGAUGAGAGGCAGAGAGAACUCAUUCUGAAACCUCUGGACCUGCUGUGAAAUGGGAUCAUCGCCCACCACAGAGCUCCGGCACUCACGUGCGUUCCAGCAGUCCUCAUCCCAGAUCCUCAUCCCAGAUCCUCAUCCCAGAUCCUCAUCCCAGACCCUCAUCCCA